rnacentral:rRNA from 1 species
CCUACGGGAUGCAGCAGUGGGGAAUAUUGCACAAUGGGCGCAAGCCUGAUGCAGCCAUGCCGCGUGUAUGAAGAAGGCCUUCGGGUUGUAAAGUACUUUCAGCGGGGAGGAAGGCGAUAAGGUUAAUAACCUUGUCGAUUGACGUUACCCGCAGAAGAAGCACCGGCUAACUCCGUGCCAGCAGCCGCGGUAAUACGGAGGGUGCAAGCGGUAAUCGGAAUUACUGGGCGUAAAGCGCACGCAGGCGGUCUGUCAAGUCGGAUGUGAAAUCCCCGGGCUCAACCUGGGAACUGCAUUCGAAACUGGCAGGCUAGAGUCUUGUAGAGGGGGGUAGAAUUCCAGGUGUAGCGGUGAAAUGCGUAGAGAUCUGGAGGAAUACCGGUGGCGAAGGCGGCCCCCUGGACAAAUAAUGACGCUCAGGUGCGAAAGCGUUGGGAGCAAGCCGGAUUAGAUACCCGCGUAGUC